AUAUUACAUGCAGAGGAUGGGAGGACCUGAUGUUUACAGGGAGCAACCGGUGUACAAUAUGGUCCCUCAACAGCAACAACAGCCACCUCAAAUAUCUGCAGCGACGGGACCCAUGGGGGUAGUGAGGCCAAGUGGGGCGGGAGUGGGGGUAACGGAUACCGGUUACGCACCGGUGGCUUAUGAUAGCACAGUUGGGAGGCAGGUCUACUACACUGCGCAGG
rnacentral:misc_RNA from 1 species